ACAACUCCAAAAGUCACAAGAAAGAACAAAAGGAUGUCAGCUAAGAAAUCAUAUAACACCCAGUUUAAUAUUACCAAUUCCUUCUUCUUUCUUGUGAUGAAAUUCACCCAAUUCAAGAGAUGGUGAACUAAACUCACCAAUCCCAGGACUAAGUUACCAAUCCAUUUAUACUUUUUUGUGAGAGGCGUGUUGUAAAUAGUUGGCAUCCAACUUUUUGGAUGCAAUAUAGACAUCUAACUUUCUGUGGUCGGACAGUGAUAUACAAGCUGAAAGUGAAAUAAUUGUCCACUUGGAUCGUCUAGUAGUUUUGAUCAGAUUUUACCUGCAAGGGGAGUCGUUAGUAAGAUAGGAGUUGCCAACAAUCAUUAAUACAUAAUCACUAACGGGAUAUGUACCUGUAAAUUUUACUUUAGAAAUAUCCCUAAGGCACACAUAUAUCUUCAAUCGAAGCAAAUAAAGCACAUACAUAUACAGAUGUAUCUUAGUAAGAACCAUUCAUCUCCAACUAAAUCAUCA
rnacentral:lncRNA from 1 species